GAUGAACGCUAGCGGCAGGCUUAACACAUGCAAGUCGAGGGGUAUAGUUCUUCGGAGCUAGAGACCGGCGCACGGAUGCGUAACGCGUAUGCAAUCUACCUUUUGCAGAGGGAUAGCCCAGAGAAAUUUGGAUUAAUACCUCAUGGUAUGUGAGAAUGGCAUCAUUUUCACAUUAAAGUCACAACGGCAAAAGAUGAGCAUGCGUCCCAUUAGCUAGUUGGUAAGGUAACGGCUUACCAAGGCAACGAUGGGUAGGGGUCCUGAGAGGGAGAUCCCCCACACUGGUACUGGGACACGGACCAGACUCCUACGGGAGGCAGCAGUGAGGAAUAUUGGACAAUGGGCGCAAGCCUGAUCCAGCCAUGCUGCGUGCAGGAUGACGGUCCUAUGCAUUAUAAACUGCUUUUGUACAGGAGGAAACACUGGUUCUGUAACAGGGUUGGCGGUACUGUAGGUAUAAGGAUCGGCUAACUCCGUUCCAGCCGCCGCCGUAACAC
rnacentral:rRNA from 1 species